AACGCGAAGAACCUUACCAGCCCUUGACAUGUCCCGUGUGAGUACCAGAGAUGGAACUCUUCAGUUCGGCUGGCGGGAACACAGGUGCUGCAUGGCUGUCGUCAGCUCGUGUCGUGAGAUGUUGGGUUAAGUCCCGCAACGAGCGCAACCCUCGCCCUUAGUUGCCAUCAUUCAGUUGGGCACUCUAAGGGGACUGCCGGUGAUAAGCCGCGAGGAAGGUGGGGAUGACGUCAAGUCCUCAUGGCCCUUACGGGCUGGGCUACACACGUGCUACAAUGGCGGUGACAGUGGGACGCAAUGGGGAAACCCUGCGCAAAUCUCAAAAAGCCGUCUCAGUUCGGAUUGUGCUCUGCAACUCGAGCACAUGAAGUUGGAAUCGCUAGUAAUCGCAGAUCAGCACGCUGCGGUGAAUACGUUCCCGGGCCUUGUA
rnacentral:rRNA from 1 species